UUGAAGGCAGGUUCCUGAGGACUGGAAAAAGCAGAUGGCACUCCUGUCUUCAAGAAGAGCAAGCAGGAGAGUGUGGAGAACUGCAGACCAGUCAACCUCACCUCAGUGCCUGGAAAUGUGAUGGAGCACAUUAUCUUGGAAACUAUUUCCAAACACGUGAAGGACAAGAAGCUGACAGGAAGUAGUCAGCACAAAUUUACCAAGACAAUAGCAUGCUCAGACAUGUAGGUGUCAAGCUCCUUCUGCUGCUCUUUUUGAAGUCCCCAGUGGAGAUGCUGAGGAGCUGGCUCUUCUGGGCACUGCUGAAGCUACCUUAGGAAGAUUCCCAGGAUGUUCUCAAUGGUUUACUCAGUGCCAGGUGUACUGAACUGUGUGUGAGCCCUCAGCCCGCCAGGAAAGGCGUCAUCCAAGGAGCACAGCAGGAGGCUGACUCCCAGCCCUUUCUGUUUUUAUCUUCUUUCAAAGACAUCUGCUUCUCCGACCUAUUUCAGAACAUGGAAAUUCACAAGAGCACCUUGGGGAUUCAGCCAAUAUUAGAAAAAGAGUUUUGGUGGUGCAGCCCUACCAAAGGAACUGGCAGUGGCAGCUUUGGCCGUCAGCACUGCACACCUGCUGGAGAUAGGGUAGGGAGAAAAAGAACCUCAGCCUAAUGGAAUGCAUGUACCUGCAUGCAUAGACACAUAGGUAUAAGCAAACGCACGUGUUUCUGUAAAUGUGGUGGCACAGGAAGGAUUUGCACAGGUGAUAAUUUUUAAGAUGACAAAAUGAUAUGUAUUUCUUUCUCGGUGUCAUUCUUAGAGUGCUUUGGUUGAGGUUUAAAACAAUAUCCAACAAUCACGAUCAGACAGGCAACACAGUAAAACGGAUUUUGAGUGAUGCAAAUUGGCACAGCUAUUUUGAAUCGCAUGUGAUGCAGACAUAAUAAUUGUUCCUGCCUGCCUGUGUUAAAAUUUCUCUGCUAUACAAAACCUACCAUGAGCUGUAGCUCUCCUUUCUGUUAUGUACUCCUCUGAGCAUGUUUACUACUU
rnacentral:lncRNA from 1 species